AAAUUGAAGAGUUUGAUCAUGGCUCAGAUUGAACGCUGGCGGCAGGCCUAACACAUGCAAGUCGAACGGUAACAGGAAGCAGCUUGCUGCUUCGCUGACGAGUGGCGGACGGGUGAGUAAUGUCUGGGAAACUGCCUGAUGGAGGGGGAUAACUACUGGAAACGGUAGCUAAUACCGCAUAAUGUCGCAAGACCAAAGAGGGGGACCUUCGGGCCUCUUGCCAUCGGAUGUGCCCAGAUGGGAUUAGCUUGUUGGUGGGGUAACGGCUCACCAAGGCGACGAUCCCUAGCUGGUCUGAGAGGAUGACCAGCCACACUGGAACUGAGACACGGUCCAGACUCCUACGGGAGGCAGCAGUGGGGAAUAUUGCACAAUGGGCGCAAGCCUGAUGCAGCCAUGCCGCGUGUAUGAAGAAGGCCUUCGGGUUGUAAAGUACUUUCAGCGGGGAGGAAGGGAGUAAA
rnacentral:rRNA from 2 species